GCUGGCGGCGCGCAUAACACAUGCAAGUCGAGCGAGGGCUUAUUUCUCGCAAGAGAGACAAGUUCCUAGCGGCGAACGGGUGAGUAACACGUGGGCAACCUUUCCUAUCGCGGGGGAUAACAGCGGGAAACCGCUGCUAAUACCGCAUGUCGUCACCGGUCUCAUGGCCGGUGAACAAAGCAGCAAUGCACGAUGGGGUGGGCCCGCGGCCUAUCAGCUAGUCGGUGGGGUAACGGCCUACCGAGGCGAUGACGGGUAGCUGGUCUGAGAGGACGGCCAGCCACACGGGGACUGAGACACGGCCCCGACUCCUACGGGAGGCAGCAGUGAGGAAUCUUCCGCAAUGGGCGAAAGCCUGACGGAGCGACGCCGCGUGUGCGAUGAAGUCCUUCGGGAUGUAAAGCACUGUCGGAGGGGAAGACAAAAAAGACGGUACCCUCCAAGAAAGCCCCGGCUAACUACGUGCCAGCAGCCGCGGUAAUACGUAGGGGGCAAGCGUUAUCCAGAUUUACUGGGCGUAAAGCGCGUGUAGGCGGCUGGUUAGGUGUGAUGUGAAA
rnacentral:rRNA from 1 species